rnacentral:lncRNA from 1 species
GGGGAGGGGCGUCAAGAUGGCGGCGGGGAGGUAGGCAGAGCAGGACGCCGCUGCUGCCGCCGCCACCGCCGCCUCCGCUCCAGUCGCCUCUGGUCCUUCAAACUCACACCUCCCGGGAGGAGCUGUCCUGGCGCCGGGUCCCGCGGGGAAAAUGGUGGAGCCAGGGCAAGAUUUACUGCUUGCUGCUUUGAGUGAGAGUGGAAUUAGUCCGAAUGACCUCUUUGAUAUUGAUGGUGGAGAUGCAGGGCUUGCAACUCCAAUGCCUACCCCGUCAGUUCAGCAGUCAGUGCCACUUAGUGCAUUAGAACUAGGUUUGGAGACCGAAGCAGCAGUUCCUGUUAAACAAGAACCAGAGACUGUACCUACUCCAGCACUAUUAAAUCAGCAGCCUCCAUCUACUACAACAUUUGUGCUGAAUCAAAUAAAUCAUCUUCCACCCUUGGGAUCUACAAUUGUAAUGACUAAAACACCACCUGUAACAACCAACAGGCAAACCAUCACUUUAACUAAGUUUAUCCAGACUACUGCAAGCACACGCCCGUCAGUCUCAGCACCAACAGUACGAAAUGCCAUGACCUCUGCACCUUCAAAAGACCAAGUUCAGCUUAA